CAACUGUAUGUUAACAGCGAAACACUGGACAAAAGGAGACUCUAUGAUGGGCUAUGUCAAUCAGCGGAUUCUUCAACAGCCUCAUCGUGCCAGGAGUGG